ensembl:ncRNA ZC477.17 ncRNA
CAGGGAAAUAUUUAGAGAUCAUUCAAAACGUAAAGCAAGAUCAAUUAAAGGUAGGGGCGUUUCGGAUAAAAGUUUGUAAAUCAAAUUACUAUUGCUCUUUGUCAGUUAAUUUUUAUUUAUUGGUAUUUGGAAAAAAAACAUUACCUUUU